UACAGAGGUCCCAAGCGUUGUUCGGAUUCACUGGGCGUAAAGGGUGCGUAGGUGGUUGGGUAAGUCUGAUGUGAAAUCUCCGGGCUCAACCCGGAAAUGGCAUUGGAUACUAUUCGGCUAGAGGUUUGGAGGGGGGACUGGAAUUCUCGGUGUAGCAGUGAAAUGCGCAGAUAUCGGGAAGAACACCCGUGGCGAAGGCGGUUCUCUGGGACGGUACUGACGCUGAGACGCGAAAGCGUGGGGAGCGAACAGG
rnacentral:rRNA from 1 species